rnacentral:lncRNA from 1 species
GAAAAGGACUCAAAAUGCAGAAGGAGAAAGAGGAUGCUGAGUUCGCAGCAAACGCACAGCUGCCAAAGAGACCACAGGAUACGGUGUGACUCGGAGUGGUGGAAGCUGCGGCGUUCGGCAGCCAUGUCCCAGCUGGUGGAGAGAGGUUGUCGAAAUUUGCCAACGGCAGCUCAGACGAUCCCCAACAGCUGCGUUUCCCAGGUGCCUGGAUCGGCCAAGUGAAGCCAAUGGGAGGCACUGGAGGAGAAGCCAGGUGCUCCCUCCUCCCCUUCGGGCUACCUCUCUGGUGGCCUCUUGUCUCCUCCAUGGUCCCAGCUUCCUCCAGCCAGGCCUCCGUGUUCUGGAAUCCUCCCUGACCCUGGGUCCUGCACGUCCUCCUCCUGUCCGCUCACUUGCAGAACUGGGGGCAGCUUCCUGCAGUUGCUGAGCUCAAGGUCACCCCCAGCUCUGUUAAGCUUCCCAGCCACUCUCUGGACUGCAGAACCAACUCCCUGCCUUCAAUUCCUUCCGUUGAAAUGCUCAGAGGGGCGCCUGUUUCCUGGCCUGGACCCCGAUUGCCACGUGGACCCACGGGGAGGUUCUCGGCCCCUUAAGGCAGUGGGGAAGGGCUGCCUGGGGUCUCCACCUCUCUACCCGGAGGGCUGCAGCCAGGCUUUCAUCUCUCUCCGUCGCCCCCUCCCUGGCUCUUCCUCUCCCGUGCUUUUCUCCUCCCUCGGCUGCGUCUUGCAUCCUCCCCUUGGAUUCACGCCGAGGUCAGUCCUCCAUGGGUGGCUCUUCGAGAGAGAACAUCCAGCUCUGGGAAUUACGGGAACCUUUACUCACACUUGAAAGCCCAGCUUGCAAGACCACUGUCUCACCCGGGACUUAAAAAAAACCUCAAGAAAGUUAUUU